UGGGGAAUUUUGGACAAUGGGGGAAACCCUGAUCCAGCCAUCCCGCGUGUGCGAUGAAGGCCUUCGGGUUGUAAAGCACUUUUUGCAGGAAAGAAACGUCAUGGGUUAAUACCCCGUGAAACUGACGGUACCUGCAGAAUAAGCACCGGCUAACUACGUGCCAGCAGCCGCGGUAAUACGUAGGGUGCAAGCGUUAAUCGGAAUUACUGGGCGUAAAGCGUGCGCAGGCGGUUCGGAAAGAAAGAUGUAAAAUCCCAGAGCUAAACUUUGGAACUGCAUUUUUAACUACCGAGCUAGAGUGUGUCAGAGGGAGGUGGAAUUCCGCGUGUAGCAGUGAAAUGCGUAGAUAUGCGGAGGAACACCGAUGGCGAAGGCAGCCUCCUGGGAUAACACUGACGCUCAUGCACGAAAGCGUGGGGAGCAAACAGG
rnacentral:rRNA from 1 species